GAAACGCGAUAGUUAAUGUGAAUUGCAGAAUUCAGUGAAUCAUCGAGUCUUUGAACGCACAUUGCGCCCAUAGGUAUUCCUUUGGGCAUGUCUGUUUGAGCGUCAUUACAACCCUCAGCUAACCGCUGGUUUUGAACCUGAACGGGUGACACCGCGCCGGUUUUAAAGUUGUAAGCUCUGCUGGCCGCUCUGCCCAACCAGAACAUAGUAAGCACUACUUGUCCGGGUGAAGCUGAACGGUACGGCCUGAACAAAACCUACCCACUCUCAAGGUUUGACCUCAGAUCAGACAAGGAUACCCGCUGAAUUUAAGC
rnacentral:misc_RNA from 1 species